rnacentral:rRNA from 1 species
AUACAGAGGGGGCAAGCGUUAUUCGGAAUUAUUGGGCGUAAAGGGCGCGUAGGCGGUGAUUUAAGUGAGAUGUGCAAUCCCCGGGCUUAACCUGGGAACUGCAUCUCAUACUGGAUCGCUAGAGUGCUGGAGAGGGUGGUAGAAUUCCACGUGUAGCGGUGAAAUGCGUAUAGAUGUGGAGGAAUACCAGUGGCGAAGGCGGCCACCUGGACAGUAACUGACGCUGAGGCGCGAAAGUGUGGGGAGC